rnacentral:rRNA from 1 species
UGGGGAAUUUUGGACAAUGGGGGAAACCCUGAUCCAGCCAUCCCGCGUGUGCGAUGAAGGCCUUCGGGUUGUAAAGCACUUUUGGCAGGAAAGAAACGUCGCGGGUUAAUACCCCGCGAAACUGACGGUACCUGCAGAAUAAGCACCGGCUAACUACGUGCCAGCAGCCGCGGUAAUACGUAGGGUGCAAGCGUUAAUCGGAAUUACUGGGCGUAAAGCGUGCGCAGGCGGUUCGGAAAGAAAGAUGUGAAAUCCCAGAGCUUAACUUUGGAACUGCAUUUUUAACUACCGGGCUAGAGUGUGUCAGAGGGAGGUGGAAUUCCGCGUGUAGCAGUGAAAUGCGUAGAUAUGCGGAGGAACACCGAUGGCGAAGGCAGCCUCCUGGGAUAACACUGACGCUCAUGCACGAAAGCGUGGGGAGCAAACAGGAUUAGAUACCCUGGUAGUCCACGCCCUAAACGAUGUCAACUAGCUGUUGGGGCCUUCGGGCCUUGGUAGCGCAGCUAACGCGUGAAGUUGACCGCCUGGGGAGUACGGUCGCAAGAUUAAAACUUAAAGGAAUUGAACGGGGGUCAUAGCU